CCCGCCUUGUUUAACAAAAACAUGUCUUAUUGUAAAUUUAUAUUAAGUCUUGCCUGCUCAAUGAUAUUAUUUAUUAAAUAGCCGCAGUAUUUUGACUGUGCAAAGGUAGCAUAAUCAUUUGUCUUUUAAUUGUGGACUUGUAUGAAUGGUUUGAUGAGAUACUAGCUUUCUUUAUAUAAAAUUCAAUUAAUUUAAUUUCUUAGUUAAAAAGCUAAGAUAUUUUUAUAGGACGAGAAGACCCUAUAGAAUUUUAUUUAUAUUUAUAUAAAUAAUAUCUGGAUAUUUUUUAUUUUUAUAGAUUUAUAAAUUUUGUUGGGGUGACAGGGAAAUUUACAUAACUUUCUUUAUUUAUAUUUUAUUUAUAUAUAUAUUUAUGAUCCUAUUUUAAGGAUAUUAAGAUUAAAUUACCUUAGGGAUAACAGCGUAAUUUCUUUGGAGAGUUCUUAUCGAUAAUGAAGUUUGCGACCUCGAUGUUGGAUUAAAAUAAGUAUUAGGUGUAGGUGCUUAAUUUCUAGGCNGUUCGCCAUNGACAUUAAAAA
rnacentral:rRNA from 1 species